ensembl:snoRNA SNORA70 Small nucleolar RNA SNORA70
GUGUUUUAUAUUUUAACAACUUGUGCUUUUUCCCCUUGGUGGCCCCAUGUGCCGUGGCUGCAAACAGUAGGCUCCUUGGGAGUGUAUACAGCCUUGUGACUGAAUGAGUUACCCUAAUUAGGGACCUUGGAGACAGCC